rnacentral:rRNA from 1 species
UACGGGGGGAGCAAGCGUUGUUCGGAUUUACUGGGCGUAAAGGGCGCGUAGGCGGCGCGACAAGUCACUUGUGAAAUCUCCGGGCUUAACUCGGAGCGGCCAAGUGAUACUGUCGUGCUAGAGUGCGGAAGGGGCAACUGGAAUUCUCGGUGUAGCGGUGAAAUGCGUAGAUAUCGAGAGGAACACCUGCGGCGAAGGCGGGUUGCUGGGCUGAUACUGACGCUGAUGCGCGAAAGCCAGGGGAGCGAACGGG